GGAAGUGGGGAUGACGUCAAAUCAUCAUGCCCCUUAUGUUCUGGGCUACACACGUGCUACAAUGGCCGGUACAGACGGACGCAAAGCCGCGAGGUGGAGCAAAUCCUAAAAAGCCGGUCUCAGUUCGGAUUGCAGGCUGCAAUUCGCCUGCAUGAAGUCGGAAUCGCUAGUAAUCGCAGGUCAGCAUACUGCGGUCGAAUACGUUCCGGGCCUU
rnacentral:rRNA from 1 species